AGCGAACGCUGGCGGCAGGCCUAACACAUGCAAGUCGAACGAAGCCUUCGGGCUUAGUGGCGGACGGGUGAGUAACACGUGGGAACGUACCUUUUGGUUCGGAAUAACGCAGAGAAAUUUGCGCUAAUACCGAAUGAGCCCUUAGGGGGAAAGAUUUAUCGCCGGAAGAGCGGCCCGCGUUAGAUUAGCUAGUUGGUGAGGUAAAGGCUCACCAAGGCUACGAUCUAUAGCUGGUCUGAGGGGAUGAUCAGCCACACUGGGACUGAGACACGGCCCAGACUCCUACGGGAGGCAGCAGUGGGGAAUCUUGCGCAAUGGGCGAAAGCCUGACGCAGCCAUGCCGCGUGAAUGAUGAAGGUCUCAGGAUUGUAAAAUUCUUUUACCAGGGACGAUAAUGACGGUACCUGGAGAAAAAGCCCCGGCUAACUUCGUGCCAGCCGCCGCGGUAAAAC
rnacentral:rRNA from 1 species